GCAGUGGUGGUUUAGUGGUAGAAUUCCUGCCUACCAUACAGGAGACCUCGGUUCGAUUCUUAGCCGUGCA
rnacentral:tRNA from 1 species